UGUGAGCCAUUUCCAGCAAUCAAAACUCAUGAAUGCUCUCAGGGAAUGUGCAUUUAAUUUGCAAUCUGAAUAUGCUACGUAUUUAAUGGAUUGGUGACAAGCAGCUACUAACUCAGUUGGAGUUUGUGCUUAAAUGCUGAUGAAGAGGGGUAUCACAUGGUUGUCGCCAUGGGGAAUAACAUCGUUCAAGCAAAGUUAUCACUUAUUAUGGGACCAGUAUAUUGGUUUAUCAGGAGCGUUUGAUGGACCACCUUUCAAUUCUUCUCAACCUUGAUGGUAGGUAGCCUCAGAGCUGGUGUCACGGGCAGGACUACUCGCGGUGCACCACAAAUAAGGGAUGAUUGGUCCACCAAUUCAAUGUGGCAGUGGAUAGGUGUGGUCUGCGGGCUGCCCAUUGGCAGUUGAUCUCCACCUCAGCCAUGUCUUUGAAGAAGAAUGAUCAGUCACAUGACUUGUCUGCCAUUUGGCAAUGGGACCCUUUUAUUGCUUUUGAGAGAAGAAGCUCUUGAUGGAGUC
rnacentral:lncRNA from 1 species